GAUUUCUGGUUUAAUGCACCUGGCCCGCAGCCCUCAAGGCUUGUGAGUGCCGGCGCGCGUUUACCAUCUUUCUAGAAAAUGGUUCUGCCAUUAACUUGGUGGGAUCGUGAUCUAGAUCAUUUACUUUGAAAAAAUUAGAGUGUUUAAAGCAAGCUUUUGCUAUGAAUAUAUUAGCAUGGAAUAAUAAUCUAGGACUUCGGUUCUAUUUUGUUGGUUUCUAUAACUGAAGUAAUGAUUGAUAGGGACAGUUGGGGGUGCUAGUAUUGGCCGGCCAGAGGUGAAAUUCUUGGAUUCGGUCAAGACUAACUUAUGCGAAAGCAUU
rnacentral:rRNA from 1 species